UGAAGAUAAAGAAUUGAAAUGUAUCUUUUUGGAGACAAGUAUGGGAUUGAAGAAACAGUAUCACAUGGUUUAUGAGUGUAUCCCUCUCCCAAAGGAAGUGGGUGAUAUGGCUCCCAUCUAUUUUAAGAAAGCCAUAAUGGAAUCUGAUGAAGAAUGGUCUAUGAAUAAGAAGUUGAUUGAUUUGUCUUCAAAAGAUAUUAGAAAGUCUGUACCCAGAGGCUUGCCUUACUUUGCUGUAGACUUUGGACUUCAGGGAGGAUUUGCCCACAUCAUUGAAGAUCAGUACAAAUUUCCUCAUUACUUUGGAAAGGAAGAAAGUGUUGCAGUUUGCUCAGUGGUGGAAACCAUAUGAUGUCACUAAAAGUAAAAGCAUUUAAGUGGGCGUUAUGUGUCCUUUUCUAUAUUGAGCCCAUUCAGUUUAUGUCUAUGAAUAACUGUGCCUUGGGCUCUAGGGAAAGCAGCAGCAGCAGCAGCAGCAGCAGCAGCAGCAGCAGCAACAGCAGCAGCAACAGUAGCAGGAGGCUACUCUAGUCACUGACAUCCAUGUUAGAUCAAGUUGUUUUCUUCCUCAUGGUUCCUGGAGACUUGGUUGGGUGACUGUGGAGUAAGAGGAAAUGCAUCAAGAUUAUCAGCUCACAUUUCUUUCUGUGUCUACUUCUCCACGUUCAAAUUACUCAGUUUCUCUAGAAAGGGACUUGUUUCCAGAGGUCUACUAAGGCUGCAGGGGAAAGUUGUCUGCUUCCAGGUAGAUUCUGACCUAGCUUCUUCUAUGCUUUUUAAACAAGACUGGAUGUAUUCAGUACUAAUUGAAAUUUCUUUUCUUAGUUUUACGGAAGAGUUUCUUUUUUUCUAGUAGCAUAUAGUAUUACUAUGUGUAUUGUCUUAGUUAAAGAAAAAGAUUAAAGGAUUAAAUGAUAGUGAAAAUAUUCAUAAAUAUAAGCUUAUUUGUUCUGGACUUGAAAUAGUCUGAAUUGUGGUAAUCAUAAAAGUAAUUUUCUAAAUAACACAAUUUUCAGUUCUUUGUAGUUCAUGUAACUCUAAAGUCUGUUGACAAAUCACUGUAUUAGGGUUGUAAUGUUAUCUCAGGUGCUAAAUAAUAGUAACAUAAGUGUCCAAGGAACACUCUCUUGUUCCUAUUUGAUUAAAGGUACUUAAGUUUUAUUGUUCUUAAC
rnacentral:lncRNA from 1 species